rnacentral:rRNA from 1 species
UUGAACGCUGGCGGCAUGCCUUACACCUGCAAGUCGAACGGUAACAGGUUAAGCUGGCGAGUGGCGAACGGGUGAGUAAUACAUCGGAACGUGCCCAGUAGUGGGGGAUAGCCCGGCGAAAGCCGGAUUAAUACCGCAUACGACCUAAGGGUGAGAGGGGGGGAUCGCAAGACCUCUCGCUAUUGGAGCGGCCGAUGUCAGAUUAGCUAGUUGGUGGGGUAAAAGCUCACCAAGGCGACGAUCUGUAGCUGGUCUGAGAGGACGACCAGCCACACUGGGACUGAGACACGGCCCAGACUCCUACGGGAGGCAGCAGUGGGGAAUUUUGGACAAUGGGCGCAAGCCUGAUCCAGCCAUGCCGCGUGCGGGAAGAAGGCCUUCGGGUUGUAAACCGCUUUUGUCAGGGAAGAAAUCCUUUGGGUUAAUACCUCGGGGGGAUGACGGUACCUGAAGAAUAAGCACCGGCUAACUACGUG